rnacentral:misc_RNA from 1 species
AUGUGGAUCAUUCUUGAAGAGGCUAAGUCUCUAAAAGGAAAAAAUCAAUGACGCGACAAUAGCAAUUCUCGGAUUGGUAUUGGCGCAUAGGGGAAUUCACCUUAGGGGCUGGCGCGAUGUUGCUGCAACAGACCGUCAAGCUGUUUCCUCCCACUCACAUGAACAGUUACACUUCAUUGUGUAGGUGGGCAUGUGGGCGGCUGGGCUGCGGGGGUGGUGAAUGUGCCCUUCCAGUCGUCUCGAUACAACGCUCAACGAUGGAUAUCUCGGCUUGGUGAUCGAUGAAGGACGCAGCGAAGUGCGACAAGUGUCAUGACUUGCAGAUUCCCGAGAGCUGACAAAUUUCUGAAUGCAAAUGGCGGCCGCCAAAACGGCCAUGUAUUGCAGAGUGUAGUUGUUCAUACUCAUCAUCCCCCAUAAUCACAAGCUGGUUAUGGAGUAGGUAUCUGCGCUUGCGAUCACUCCACGCGAGCGUGAAAAAAGGAGCUCUGAGCGUUGCUUCACCGCAACAAUCAGAGACUUCGAAAACUGGCUUCACCGCCUAGUCUACUGAAGUUAAUCGCUCCCUUUUAGACAGCCACCUCUGCGAUGCAGGAGAACCCGCUGAACUUAAGCAUAUCAUUUAGCGGAGGACAAGAAAACAACUGUGAUUCCCUGAGUAACGGCGAGUGAACAGGGAUCAGCCUAUGCUUGAAUCCGCAGUGGAAGGAACCGGAAACUGUGGAAUUGUAGUGCAAGGGCCAAGGGGAGGUGUCGCAGUCAGAUGAAGCGUUCUGGAAAGUUCCACCGUGGAGGGCGAACGUCCCGUCACGUCUGUACGCGCGAUGCCAUCAUCCCCGCGGACUCCAAGAGUCGCGCAGUUUGAUAGUGCUGUGCUAAACCGCAGGUGUACUUCUGCGAAGGCUAAAUAUUGCACCAAGACCGAUAGCGAACAAGUAGUGUGAACGAAAGAUGAAAGCACUUUGGAAAGAGAGUGAAAAAGGCCUUGAAGUCGUUGAGCGCCAAGGGUAAGAGACCCAUUGGCAGUUGCACGCAAGUGCAACAUGUCAGCACGAGUUAGUCUCUUCUGCGGAUGAAUUUCGUCUGAAUCCUUCAGGCUUCAGGGGCUUUUGUCAGUGCUGUAAGCGACUGACUCGGGGGCGGCGCUGAAGUGCACUUCUUGCGGCGUAGUGACAGCGUGCAUUGUUUCCUCCGGGAGGCUUUCAUGCAGAUCUAUAGUCGUUUGACGUGUAUGUGAGCAAUGCCUUUUGCUGACAAGAUGGUCUUAUACCACCCGUCUUGAAACACGGACCAAGGAGUCUACCUAAUGGGCGAACCUUAGAGUGUCAAACUCAGCAAGGUGUAAUGAAAGUGGCUACCCGUGAAGCUUUGAGGCCUACUCAGAGUAUGCAACGGGGCACGGUCCUAAUCGUAUGUGAAAGGGAUCUGAAGUAAAGUCCAUUAGCUGGGACCCGAAAGAUUGCGAGCUUUUCCUGGGCCGAUGGAAGUCAUGGGAAACCGUGAUGGACGAUCGAACGCAGUGCUGACGUGCAAAUCGCUUGUCAGAUCUGGGUAAAGGGGCGAAAGACUCAUCGAGCAAUCUAGUAGCUGGUUCCCUC